rnacentral:rRNA from 1 species
AACGAACGCUGGCGGCAUGCCUAACACAUGCAAGUCGAACGAGACCUUCGGGUCUUGUGUCGCCCGGGUGCGUAACGCGUGGGAACCUGCCCUUAUGUUCGGACUAACUCCCCGACAGGGGUGCUAAUACCGGAUAAUGUCUUCGACCCAAAGAUUUAUCGCCUUUGGAUGGGCCCGCGUUGGAUUAGCUAGUUGUUAGGGUAAAAGCAUACCAAGGCGACGAUCCAUAGCUGGUCUGAGAGGAUGAUCAGCCACACUGGGACUGAGACACGGCCCAGAAUCCUACGGGAGGAAGCAGUGGGGAAUAUUGGACAAUGGGCGAAAGCCUGAUCCAGCAAUGCCGCGUGAGUGAUGAAGGCCUUAGGGUUGUAAAGCUCUUUUACCCGGGAUGAUAAUGACAGUACCGGGAGAAUAAGCUCCGGCUAACUCCGUG